UACGUAGGGGGCAAGCGUUGUCCGGAAUCAUUGGGCGUAAAGAGCUCGUAGGCGGCUUGUUGCGUCGUUCGUGAAAUCCCGUGGCUCAACUGCGGGCUUGCGGACGAUACGGGCAGGCUGGAGUUCGGUAGGGGAGACUGGAAUUCCUGGUGUAGCGGUGAAAUGCGCAGAUAUCAGGAGGAACACCGGUGGCGAAGGCGGGUCUCUGGGCCGUAACUGACGCUGAGGAGCGAAAGCGUGGGGAGCGAACAGG
rnacentral:rRNA from 1 species